CAAUAGCGUAUAUUUAAGUUGCUGCAGUUAAAAAGCUCGUAGUUGGAUUUCGGGUGGGAAUGGCCGGUCCGCCGUUUCGGUGUGCACUUGCUACGCCCACCUUGCUGCCGGGGACGUGCUCUUGAGUUCACGCUCGGGACACGGAGUCGGCGAGGUUACUUUGAGUAAAUUAGAGUGUUCAAAGCAGGCCUACGCUCUGAAUACAUUAGCAUGGAAUAACACGAUAGGACUCUGGCCUAUCUUGUUGGUCUGUAGGACCGGAGUAAUGAUUAAGAGGGACAGUUGGGGGCAUUUGUAUUUCGGUGCUAGAGGUGAAAUUCUUAGAUUACCGAAAGACAAACUGCUGCGAAAGCGUCUGCCAAGGAUGUUUUCAUUGA
rnacentral:rRNA from 1 species